rnacentral:antisense_RNA from 1 species
GCCGCGUGGGCCGCGCGGAGAACGCGCCAGGCUCAUCACCUGGAUCAUCGUGCCUCAGUUUCCCCCUCGGCAAAUGGGGCUUCAGCGGCUCGCGACGCACAUUGAUGGAGCGUAUGUCCAGGCGCCGGUGCACCGCAAGGAGCAAAACAGAAACAGUUAUUGGUCCUAGGGCUCACGUCCCGGGGCGAAGAGGAUCCUCCAUAAACGAUCAGCCAUAGCAGCUGUGAUUGGACAAGAGACUGAUUUCAGUGACUUUCUCCUGAUAAGAGACCACCGACCAGCUGACCAUGCCGACCAGCUGACCAUGCCGACCAGCUGACCCGUUAAUAGAGAGAGAUGAUGCACCUGCAUGCCUUUGUGUCCUGAAAAGACGUUUUGCCAUAAAGGCCCUAAUUGUAAGAUGUGUAAAUGUUAAGUCUCCACCCCAAAGUGAACAUGGGUCAUAUAUUACAUGCUUUGCUCAAUAAGAGGGCAUGUGUCAGGACCACCUUCAUGAAUAUUCAUAGCUCCUCCUGUUACCUGUUGAAUAUGUAUGUUUAGCCAAUCCCUUCAGCAUAGCGCUCCUGCCCCAACCCCUCCUCCUUGGACAUGCCUGUCUCUGGCCUUGGCUGGAGACAGAUUCCCAGCCUCAGACAGAUGGCCGCCACCUUGCAGGCUACGACCGUUUACAAGAAAUAAAGCCUUCUCUUUUUCCAAA